rnacentral:lncRNA from 1 species
UUAUUAAGUCUUUCCACUUUUCUGUGGAAAGACUUAUUGUUUUUGUUCUGAUUAUUAGGUCUUUCCACCUUUCCGUGGAAAGACCUAUAGGUUUUGUUCUGAUUAUUAUUAUUAUUUUUUUUCUUCCGCCUAAUUCUUUUCUUGCGUAAUAUUGAUGUUUCAAAAGAUGUCGCUUAGAUAUUUGGAAUAUGAUAUCAUAUAGUUUAUACGCUUUAAAUACUGACAAUGGCGUAUCAAAAUACUUAACGUUGUAAGAGUUAUCUCCCCAAACACUGUUUUUCUUGUGGCCACUACUCCUUCGCAACCGUAAAAGAUUAUGACAAAAUUAUUUUACCAAAUUGCUCGUUACAUCUUCAGGAUUAGGAUUUUAAUUUUGACCGAAGCUAUCCGGAGACUCCAUAUGAGAGUUAUUCCCCCUUAUGUAUUUGAUAUAGGUGAUAUGCGUUUCUAACUUGUAAACUAUAAGUGAUAGAGACCUAGGGUCUUCAGAUUUGAGAUCCUUAGUCCAAAAAAAUGAAAAUCAGGUCAAGGUCAAAGGUCAAGGUCAUAUUCUAAAAUUUGAUUUUGGCUUAUUUUCACUUAUUUUUAAAUACCGUAUGACAUAUCGACAAAUAUUUUUUCCAAAAUUGUUAGUUGCGACAUGUCCUUACUUGUAUAUUUUGGUUGAAAGGGUGCGCACACAAGAAAUGGGAGUUUUUGUCCAUCUUACAUUUAGAAUUACGCGUAAAGUGGUAUUACUCAUUAACCAAACAUAUUAAAGACCUAGGGUCUUUUGAUUUAAGGUCCUUGGUUUGUGACCUUGAAAUUGAGGUCAAGGUCAUAGGUUUAUACAACGUUCUAGAUUUUGACCUUUGCUUUAAAUUCAUAUAAAUACAUCAUAAAGCCAUAGGAACUAACAUUUGAAACUGAUUUUUCAUAUUUCAAUAUCAAAAUAGAUCUUUACAAGUGGAAAGACCUACAAUUGUUCUCUGAACAAUUGGUUUUUAAUUAUUAUUAUUAUUAUUAUUAUUAUUUUUUUUUUUCUUCCGCCUAAUUUUUUUCUUGCGUAGUAUUGUUGUUUAAUAAGUUGUCGCUUAGAUAUUUGGAAUAUGAUAUGGUAUAGUUUAUACGCUUUAAAAAUUUACAACUGCGUAACAAAAUACUUUACGUUGUAAGAGUUAUCUCCCCAAACACUGUUUUUCUUGUGGCCACUACUCCUUCGCAACCGUAAAAGAUUACGACAAAAUUAUUUUACCAAAUUGCUCGUUACAUCUUCAGGAUUAGGAUUUUAAUUUUGACUGAAGCUAUCCAGAGACUCCAUAUGAGAGUUAUUCCCCCUUAUGUAUGUGAUAUAGGUGAUAUGCGUUUCUAACUGGUAAACCAUCAGUGAUAUAGGGCUACGGUGUUUGGAUUUAAGUUCCUUGGUCCAAAAAAAUGAAAAUAAGGUCAAGGUCAAAGGUCAAGGUCAUAUUCUAAAUUUUGAUUUUGGCUUAUUUUCUCUUAUUUUCAACAACCGUGAAAGAUAUUGACAAAUUAUUUUUACUAAAUUGUGAGUUUUGACAUAUUGUAACUUAUAAAUUUUGGUUGGAAGGGUGCGUAAACAAUAAAUGAGAGUUUUCGCCCAUCUUAUAUUUAAAAUCAUGCCUAAAGUGAUAUAACUCAUUAACCAUACAUAUUAAAGACCUAGGGUCUUUUUAUUUGAGGUCCUUGGUUGGUGACCUUGAAAUUGAGGUCAAGGUCAAAGUUAAUAGGACGUUCUAGAUUUUGACCUUUGCUUUAAAUUCAUAUUUAUACAUUAUAAAGUCAUAGGAACUGACAUUUUAGAUUGAUUUUUAAUAUUUUGAUUAUAAAAUAGAUUUUUACUUGUGGAAAGACCUUCAAUUGUUCUUUGAAUUAUUAGGUCUUUCCACCUUUCCGUGGAAAGACCUAUUGAAUUUGUUCUGAUUAUUAUUAUUAUUAUUAUUUUUUUUUUUUUUUUCUUCCGCCUAAUUUUUUUUCUUGCGUAUUAUUGAUGUUUCAAAAGAUGUCGCUUAGAUAUUUGGAAUAUGGUAUCGUAUAGUUUAUACGCUUUAAAAAUUUACAACUGUGUAACAAAAUACUUUACGUUGUAAGAGUUAUCUCCCCAAACACUGUUUUUCUUGUGGCCACUACUCCUUCGCAACCGUUAAAGAUUACGACAAAUUUAUUUUACCAAAUUGCUCGUUACAUCUUCAGCAUUAGGAUAUUCAUUUGGACCGAAGCUUUACGGAGACUCCAUAUGAGAGUUAUUCCCCCUUUUCCCUUAAAUAAAGUGAUAUGCAUUUCUAAAUGGUAAACCAUAAGUGAUAAAGACAUAGGGUCUUUAGAUUUGGGGUCCUUGGUCGAAAAUAAUAAAAAUGAGGUCAAGGUCAAAGGUCAAGGUCAUAUUCUAAAUUUUGAUUUUGGCUUAUUUUCAUUUAUUUUCAAAUACCUUAUGACAUAUCGACAAAUAAUUUUUCAUAAAUUGUUAGUUGCGACAUGUCCUUACUUGUAUAUUUUGAUUGAAAGGGUGCGCAGACAAUAAAUAGGAGUUUUUGCCCAUCUUACAUUUAGAAUUACGCGUAAAGUGAUAUUACUAAUAAACCAAACAUAUUAAAGACCUUGGGUCUUUUGAUUUAAGGUCCUUGGUUUGUGAACUUGAAAUUGAGGUCAAGGUCAUAGGUUAAUAUGACGUUCUAGAUUUUGACCUUUGCUUUAAAUUCAUAUAAAUACAUCAUACAGCCAUAGGAACUAACAUUUUAAACUGAUUUUUAAUAUUUCAAUAUCAAAAAAGAUCUUUUCUAGUGGAAAGACCUACAAUUGUUCUCUGAACAAUUGGUUUUUAAUUAUUAUUUUUUUUUUUUUUUUUUUUCUUCCGCCUAAUUUUUUUCUUGCGUAGUAUUGAUGUUUCAAAAGAUGUCGCUUAGAUAUUUGGAAUAUGAUAUCGUAAAGUGUAUGCGCUUUUAAAACUGACAACUGCGUAACCAAAUACUUUGCGUUGUAAGAGUUAUCUCCCCAAACACUGUUUUUCUUGUGGCCACUACUCCUUCGCAACCGUAAAAGAUUACGACAAAUUUAUUUUACCAAAUUGCUCGUUACAUCUUCAGGAUUAGGCAAUUCAUUUGGACCGAAGCUUUCCAGAGACUCCAUAUGAGAGUUAUUUCCCCUUAUGUAAAUGAUAUAAGUAAUAUGCAAUUCUAACUGGUAAACCAUAAGUGAUAGAGACCUAGGGUCUUCAGAUUUGAGGUCCUUGGUCCAAAAAAAUGAAAAUGAGGUCAAGGUCAAAGGUCAAGGUCAUGUUCUAAAUUUUGAUUUUUGCUUAUUUUCACUGAUUUUCAAAUACCGUAUGACAUAUCGACAAAUAAUUUUUCCUAAAUUGUUAUGUGCGACAUGUCCUUACUUGUAUAUUUUGGUUGAAAGGGUGCGCAAAUAAUAAAUGGGAGUUUUUGCCCAUCUUAUAUUUAGCUUUACCCGUAAAGUGAUAUUACUCUUUAACCAAACAUAUUAAAGACCUAGGGUCUUUUGAUUUAAGAUCCUUGGUUUGUGACCUUGAAAUUGAGGUCAAGGUCAUAGGUUAAUAGGACGUUCUAGAUUUUGACCUUUGCUUUAAAUUGAUAUUAAUACAUCAUAAAGCCAUAGGAACUAACAUUUUAAACUGAUUUUUCAUAUUUCCAUAUCAAAAUAGAUCUUUACUAGUGGAAAGACCUUCAAUUGUUCUCUGAACAAUUGGUUUU